GCCCGGAUAGCUCUGUCGGCAGAGCGUUAGGAUUUUAACCUAAUGGUCCAGAUUUCGGGUCCCUGUUUGGGCG